rnacentral:rRNA from 1 species
UACGAAGGGGGCUAGCGUUGUUCGGAAUUACUGGGCGUAAAGCGCGCGCAGGUGGUCUUUCAAGUCAGUGGUGAAAGCCCGGGGCUCACCCCCGGAAGUGCAUUGGAAACUGUCAGGCUCGAGUCCCGGAGAGGAGGGUGGAAUUCCUGGUGUAGCGGUGAAAUGCGUAGAUAUCAGGAGGAACACCGGUGGCGAAGGCGGCCCUCUGGACGGUGACUGACGCUGAGACGCGAAAGCGUGGGGAGCAAACAGG